GUUGUGGCUUAGUGGUAGAGCACUUGCCUAGCAUGUGUGAGGCACUGGGUUCAAUUCUCAGCACUACA
rnacentral:tRNA from 1 species